GCAUCGGUGGUUCAGUGGUAGAAUUCUCGCCUGCCACGCGGGUGACCCGGGUUCGAUUCCCGGCCGAUUUA
rnacentral:tRNA from 1 species